GCGAGUUUUAACUGAGCGUUCAGUUACUUGACGUAGACCCGAAACCGGGCGACCUACCCAUGAGCAGGAUGAAGCGACAGUAAAAUUUCGUGGAGGUCCGAACCCACGAGCGUUGAAAAGCUCGGGGCUGACUUGUGGGUAGCGGUGAAAUUCCAAUCGAGCCCGGAGAUAGCUGGUUCUCCCCGAAAUAGCUUUAGGGCUAGCC
rnacentral:rRNA from 1 species